GACGAACGCUGGCGGCGUGCCUAAUACAUGCAAGUUGAGCGAUGAAGAUUGGUGCUUGCACCAAUUUGAAGAGCAGCGAACGGGUGAGUAACGCGUGGGGAAUCUGCCUUUGAGCGGGGGACAACAUUUGGAAACGAAUGCUAAUACCGCAUAAUAACUUUAAACAUAAGUUUUAAGUUUGAAAGAUGCAAUUGCAUCACUCAAAGAUGAUCCCGCGUUGUAUUAGCUAGUUGGUGAGGUAAAGGCUCACCAAGGCGAUGAUACAUAGCCGACCUGAGAGGGUGAUCGGCCACAUUGGGACUGAGACACGGCCCAAACUCCUACGGGAGGCAGCAGUAGGGAAUCUUCGGCAAUGGACGAAAGUCUGACCGAGCAACGCCGCGUGAGUGAAGAAGGUUUUCGGAUCGUAAAACUCUGUUGGUAGAGAAGAACGUUGGUGAGAGUGGAAAGCUCAUCAAGUGACGGUAACUACCCAGAAAGGGACGGCUAACUACGUGC
rnacentral:rRNA from 1 species